AUGUCAUCAGCCAUGUAUCAGAACAUCAUGACCUUCCUUCAGCCAUUGAUGCUGCGUAAUAAAAUUGUCUCUGAAAUUUAUCAUCAUCUUCAUCUUAUACAUACACUCGUUAACAUAUUUCAAGAAACGUUGACUUUCAUCCUUCAACACCUUCAAUCUUCUUUACCGCAAUCAAGCAACAACAAAACCAUUAGUUCACUAACAACCAUCUUAAACUAA